CUCUAUUCAAGCAGAGAAAGCACAUGCUGUUACUCGCGGGUCCCGGGGGCAAGGUUCUGUGGGACUAUUUUUAAAUCAGGGCAGUAACAUCCGCCAACAGAGCGGUAGCGAGCACGCAGCUGCUGACCGCAGGCUCCCGGUGGCGACAUGGGGUCCUGUCCAAGAAGCGCUUCUGAGCCGCGUUCAUGGUUGGAGGAGAAGAGGCUGAGGCCACGGUCAAGGUAAAGUCUGAUGAAACCAAGAUGACAAUCAGAGGAGACAGCCGGAGUUUUGUCCUGUGACCUCCUUCCAGAAACAUUCCUGCCUGGUUCACAGAAAGAUCAUCGUGGUGAAAGGAAGGAAUGCUUUCCAAAGUGCAAGGACUUAACGGAGCCUUUGUUUAUUCUAUUCCAUGGGUGGGGGGUCCUCAGUCUGCUGAGGACUUGCCCUCACCCACGUCUCCCAACAGUACUUCUGGAGUGUGAAGGUCAUUGUCUUCUAGGCCCAGAGCUUGGCUUUCUGCCUUUUUGCAUCAGAUUUUACUCUGUGUUCUGCUUACUCUGCUAAAGGGCGCCUGGGUGGCUCAGUUGGUUAAGCGACUGCCUUCGGCUCAGGUCGUGAUCCUGGAGUCCCUGGAUCGUCCCACAUCGGGAUCCCUGCUCAGUGGGAGGUCUGCUUCUCCCUCUGACCCUCUUCCCUCUUGUGCUCUCUGUCUCUCAUU